rnacentral:lncRNA from 10 species
CUGGAGUGCAGUGGCAUGAUCAUGGCUCACUGCAGCCUUUACCUCCUGGGCUCAGAUGAUCCUCCCACCUCAGCCUCCCAAGUAGCUGGGAUUACAGGCACACAUCACCAUGCCCAGCUGUUUUUUGUAUUAUUAUUAUUAUUGCUAGAAAUGGGGUUUCACCGUGUUACCCAGACUGGUCUAGAACUCCUGGGUUCAAAUGAUACACCCACCUUGGUGUUCCAAAGUGCUAGGAUUACAGGUAU